rnacentral:rRNA from 1 species
UACAGAGGGUGCGAGCGUUAAUCGGAAUUACUGGGCGUAAAGCGUGCGUAGACGGUUAUUUAAGUCGGAUGUGAAAGCCCCGGGCUCAACCUGGGAAUUGCAUUCGAGACUGAAUAGCUAGGGUGCGGUAGAGGGAAGCGGAAUUUCCGGUGUAGCGGUAAAAUGCGUAGAUAUCGGAAGGAACAUCAGUGGCGGAAAGCGGCUUCCUGGACCAGCACCGACGUCAGGCACGAAAGCGUGGGGAGCAAACAGG